CUUGUGAGUGCUUCUUGCUCUGUGAUGGAAUGGAAAUGGGUCCGAUCUUGUGCACGCCUCCUGUGGAUAACUGACAGCUGCUGAGAGUUCAAGAGGCCAAUGGGCAUGCUGUUUCCAGAGGGCAGCACUCUAGAACUGGGGUGGGCAGUGUUCAGGGAGUGGAGGGAGUCCUCUUACAAGGGUUCAGGACUUCCCUGAGCCUGGCUUUGGUCAGGUCUGGGGGCUAAUAUCCGCUUAUAAGUGAUACAUAUCAUGUUUGUCUUUUGGGUCUGGAUUACCUCACUCUGAUGAUUUUUCAGGUUCCUUCCAUUUGCCAGCAAAUUUCAUAAUGUCAUUGUUUUUGACAGGUGAGUCAUACUCCGAUGUGUAGUGUACCACAUUUUCUUUUCCAUUCUUCAGUUGAGGAAUGUCUAGGUUGUUUCCAGUUUCUGGCUACUACAAAUUGAGCUGGUAUGAACAUAGUUGAUCAAGUGUCCUUGUGGUAUGGUGGAGCAUCCUUUGGGUAUAUGCCCAGGAGUGGUAUAGCUGUGUCUUGAGGUAGAUCUAUUCCCAGUUUUCUGAGAAACUGCCAUAUUGAUUUCCAAAGUGGUGGUACAACUUUGCACUCUCACCAGCAGUGGAGGAGUGUUCACCUUGCGCCACAUCCUCCACAUCUUAGCCAUUCUGACAGGUGUAAAUGUUUCUACAUUCUUAUCCCCAGCUUAGAGAUGAAGUGCUCUGGAGAGGAACACAUGGGAACAGGCUGUGUGCUGUUUAAGUCUUUGUAACAUGGAGAAUCCAAGCUCCAUCUCCUUGACCUCAGCAUGUACUGGUCUCCUCUUUGACCUCAAAUGGGCCCAUGGAAUCUUCUAAAUGCUUAGUUGCUUUUGUAUACCCAUUACAGUCAAGGCAGGCUCACCCCCAUUCCUAUCUGAGCCUGAGGCUAUCUUGUGAUAAAAACUCAGAAUCCAUUGCCACUGCUUUUUGAUAGAGAAGGGGAUAGGUUGGGUUGAUGCCAACAUGUAUCUGUUCCUUUGAUUUUCUAGUCUAGAGAGUAGAUGGCACAAUGCUAUUUUCUUGACAAAGACAUGAAUCAAAGUUUGUAGAAGGUCAGCUCUGAGUAUCCAAAACUUAGUGCUCAUCUACCUACCCACCUAUCCACCUACCCAUCCAUCCAUCCAUCCAUCCAUCCAUCCAUCCAUCCAUGAAUCCAAUCUACCCCAAUCCAUCUACUCAUUUAUCUAAACAUUCAUCUACCUAUUCAUCCAUCCCUCUGCAUCCAUCCACCCAUGUAUCCAUCCAUCCAUCCAUCCAUCCAUCCAUCCAUCCAUCCAUCCAUGUAUCCAAGUAUCCAAUCCAAUCCAGUCCAAUCCAUCUAUUCAUCUACCCACCCAUCUAUCUAUUUAUCUGCAUACCCACCCACCCAUCCAUCUACCUAUCUGAGUAUCCAGUCCAUCCAUCCACCCACCUGUCUACUUAUUCACAUAUUUAACAAGCAGGUGUUUAUGGAGCUUCCAUCAUGGUGCUCCAUUAAGCCAUAUGCUAUAGACUACCUGAGACAUGUCCCAGAAGGAGGGAGAGGAGGUAACAUCAGGAAAUGGGAUGGUUAUUUCAGGUCCAUCUAGACUUCAGAAAAAAGCAAGGGAUUAGUGUUGAGGGCUGGAUUUGGGGAGCCUGAGCUUGCUCAUUGCUUCUGUGUCAUUCAUUGUCCUGUGUUUUUCUUAAGCUAGAUACAGCCCCCUUCUUCUGUGUCUCCUUAGAACACUCACUGCUGUUUGCUUCAUAUGGAUGGGCAGCUGUGAAACUGGGCAAGGCUGUUUAUCAGUUGCUCAGCCCCUCAACAGAGCCCACUCUUUCCAUCACGUGGUUCUGUCUUGUUAGCACAAGCUGCUGCUAAUGAGCCAUCAUCUCCCAUUCUCACAACAACUGCUCCAUCUUUGGGUCUUCUCCAGUUAUCAGGCCUGAGUGGAGGCACAGAAAAGAGCAGUCACUUCCCCCAGGUCACACAGCUAAUCAGUUACAGUUAGGACGUUCAAGCCUGAGGCUGUCAGAUUCCCGAGUUCCUCUUGUAUUCCCUUUCUAGCUGGCACCUCCCCCUGAUCUCAUGGAGCCAUUCUCAAAAGCUAUGUAGAGUAGGAAGCUGGCUUAAAAAAAUGAAAAACAGCCAGGCGGUGGCGGCACACGCCUUUAAUCCCAGUACUCGGAGACAGAGGCAGGAGGAUCUUUGAGUUCGAGGCCAGUCUGGUCUACAGAGUGAGUUCCAAGACAGCCAGCGCUACACAGAGAAACUCUGUCUUGAAAACAAACAAACAAACAAACAAACAACCCCCAACCAAAACCAAACCAAAAAAACACCCCCCCCAACAAACAAACAAUAAAGACAAAACAAAAAACCAAAACCAAAAUCCCAAAGUCAAAACCAAACCAAACCAUUGAGAGCAGACGUAACAGGGAAAAUAUGUCUCAUCUGUAGGGCAGCCUCUGUGUAUGGGCACACCAAGGGAUGAUGGGAAGGGGGCUCCACCUGAGACUUGCUGAUUGCUGUGCUGGGGCUAAGAAUGUGUGACCCUUAUACUCGCUCUUGGGCAUUUCCCAAUGCUACCACUUUUUCCUAGUCCUUAGCUUCCUCCCGAAUGUUUGCCUCACAGUUGUUACUCUAAGCCCUAGCUAGACCCUCCUGACCUGCACUCAACCCCCUCAGACCUAAACCCAACUGCUUGGUCAAACCAGUUGAAUGUCUGACUGCUUCAGUGAGGAAAGCUGUCAGGGACCAGAGUAUAAACCAAUGUCUUGUCUGGACCCUAGCCCAAGUCCAGAAUGACUAGCCCGGAGGAGAUCUCUAGAAAUGGCUGUUUGUUCUCUGCAACAUAGUAUCCUAGCUAUGGCUUCCUGCCUAAUUGAGAAAAGAAACAAAAAGAAACAAAACUGUAGUUUUUUUUUUUUUCUGAUGACUUCUCAACACUCCCCUGAUGCUCUGGGCUGGAAUCCAUAAAGGCAAAUUUUGCACAGUGGGCCACAGGGUACGGGAACUCUUGGGCUUGUGUCUCUUCUGAUCUGAUUACAUUUCUAGAUCAAACCACCUUCCUUUCUCACCUCCUAAUUGAUUUCUCUGCCGCAGCCUCUACAGCUUUCCCUUUCCUCAGCAGCUACUCCCAUCCUUCUCAAUUGUGAGUCUGAUUGGGUCACCCUUCUUUCUGCUCGAGGGCCCCUAACGGCUUUUUAUUGUUCUGAAAAGAGCCAAAGUCUUGCCACUGGCCUCUGAUGAUUGAGGGCGGGGGCUGGACAGCCAUUGUUUUGGGCUUUGCAGGGCAUGAUGUCUGCAUACACGUCUGUUGUAGCGUGAGAAAAGUCGUGGAGGAUGAACGAAGGCACGGGUGUGGCUACGUCCUGGCACAAGAAGGAAAAGGAAUCUGGAGUUGGAUCUGGUUUAUAUUCGAGGAAGAGCUGAGUUGCUGUGUUCGGGGAGAAAGGAAUCAGGGGAAAUGGAGCGAAGAAAGGCUGGUGCUGGGUAUUCUGCAAAAGGCUGCGAUUCGGGUGUCCUGGGGACAGAGUCUUUCUCCGCCCACUUUAAGAAGGAAGAUCGAAGAUCCAGACCUGACACAACUUGUCACCUUUGGCCUAAUUAAAGCGUCCCCCUGUGCGAUUGCUGGAAUACUUACAUCAGCUCUAAAACUCCAAGCAUGCUCCAGCUGCUGACCACAGGAAGGCUAACAGUGCUCUAGUCUCUAAGGAGUUGACCCCUCUGAGAACAUGUCUUUAAAUCAGCCGAUCACAACAUUUCAGAGUCUCUCACUGGCCUGGAACACGCCGCAUAGGCUAAGCUCCCUGACCAGCCAGCGGAUCUGCCUGUCUCUCCACUUCUCCAGCUCCGGAGUUAACAACAUGUCCAGCAUUUUUAAGCCUGUGUUCUGAGGGUUGAACUCAGGCUCUGAUGCUUGCAAGUUGUGAUCGGAGUGGACCCUGCAUAGAACAAAAGGAAUUUGAACGUGAAGUUAAGAUUGAUGGUUACCAUCUGGCGGAGAAAGGAACACAGAGGUAACCACUCUCAUCAGGAAAAGGCUAGAGUGUCAUCCAAGGCUGUACAAAGAAAAUGUUUAGUCCUAACCGCUGCUCUAAUGUAUAUUCCUCUCUUCCUCUUGCAGUUAAUUGGAGUCUGGGCUAAGAGAACAAGGGGGACCGUGAACGGAGGCGAGGAGAUGGAAGUUGAGUGGAGUCAUUGUUGAGACUUAAGUGAAAAUUUGGCUCACAGUUUCUUCACUGUAUUUGUGUUUCAUUUCAGACCUCAGAAUACUGGAGUUAAAAAAUAUAAGUGUGUGUGUGUGUGUGUGUGUGUGUGUGUGUGUGUGUGUGUGUGUGUGUGUGUGUGUUGAUGGUGGUGGUGGUGGUAAUGCGUUUAACAGCAUGAUUGAUUUUGCAGAUUCUCAGUGAAACUGGCUGGAGAUCUAUUUUUUUUCAAUGACAGUACAUCAAGCUCUGGGAGCAUGUUUCGUUUUGAGUCGCCAGUGUGCAAGACGACAACUUCCGUGGCCUGGUUCCUGCCCCUUUGGACUUGUUGAUGAGCUGUGUGUGACGCCUGGCAGUGGCGCCCUUACGACAGAGGGUGUUUAGGGAGAUGGCAGCGCCAUUGCCCUUGGUACUCCAGCUUAAGCGCUGGAAAUAUAAAUAAAAGAUUGUCAUAGUUUUCUUGGUUUGGGAAGAAAAAAGCUUUUCAACAGCCGUGUUAUUCCACUCAGCCCCAGCUUUCUUUGCCAACAGCUCAUUGAGGAGAAUGGGGCUUGGAAGAGGGAAAGGGGGAAGUGGAUCAUUAUUCAACAACUGGAAUCACCUGGGGUCAAUAAUGUAGUGUCCACCCCGUCAUGUCCCCAUUGCACCAGGAAUCAUCGAGGCUUGCUCUGAAUACAUACAGACUCACAUGCAGCUCGAGGAAUGACACGAAGAUCCGAUUCUCGGUUUGUAUUUCCUAUGCAAACAGGCUUCUUUGACUCAGAGGACCCACUGUAAAAGCUCCCCACUCAGAAGUGAGACAGUUGGCACCACUGAGCCAGAAUAUCGAGAUCCUGAAAUCCCAAAUCUAUUUCUUUAGGUAGAGGCUAGGUGAGCCUGCAUUUUAGCCAUCUUCACUCAGCCCCUUGGCUCUAAGCUGUUCUGAAAUGUCCCGGGUAGCCUGGUGGGAGCUGGGCUGGGGCAGCGUUUUUAGCAUCAGAUUGCAUGUUGCUGAAGAGCUGACAGUUCCUAGUGGCCUGAGCCAGCCUCUGCUGGCAGGGUCCAGGACUCCUCAUCCAUGCUGCUGGCAGAGCUGUGCCCAAUAGUAAAUCCUGGUGUCUGAAACCUAGAAAGGGCGUCUGAGAUUAGUGAGUCUUUAUCGUUUUCCCGUAGAGGAAGAGCUCCUAGGAAAGAUGAGUGACUGGUAUAAGACCACAGGUCUCUUGGUCUUGGUUUAGCUCUCUGGUUCCCCUGGGCUCAGUUUCUUGGUAAUGUACACCAGACUGCCACCAAUUUUGGGUCUCCCGUGAGGCUUCUCCUGGGACACUUACUGAGGUGGGUCUGAAGAGUUUGACGAAUCUUGGCUGUGUUACACAGGCGCUUGGUGGAAUGAAUGGCCUUAGAAGGUCCCCAGGAAGCAGCUGCAUCCGAAGGUCCCCUGUUGGAGCAGUGGGACAAGCUUGUUUAGCACCUUCCAGGAGGUGAAAGCAAAUGGAGCCAAUUACAUGUCCAGAAUGCAGGAGCCGCCUUUCCUCCCUUGAUUCUCUGGUCUCCCAUGGUGUAUGAGUUCCUUGUUAAAUUAAUGUUUGCCUGUCUGGAGCGCCAGAGGGAUAGACAUUAUAGGCCAAUUAGAGAUAAAAAUCAAACCAACCAGAGCUGUCCUUUUAAAAAUUAAAAGUGCUUUUUAUGUGCUGUGGAGGUGUCGGCAUUAACAUAAAGACUAAUUAGGACAUUUUACAACAUCCUGGUAACGGGCGAAACAAUAUUGUUGGUAACUUUAAAGAUUAUUAAGCAUCUUUGGCACUUCAGGUCAGAUAUUUAAGACGUGUUCUGCUCUCACCUGCUGCUGCGGCACCAAGUAUUUUAUUGUCUCAUAAGAAGAAAUGAGCGUUUUGAAGGCCUAAGCGCCCCGCUGUAAUGGACAGUCCCUCACUUUGCAAAGCCCUAAAGCACGGUCUCUGGGAAGACCUGACUGUGACUCCACAUGGAAUUUGUAGCAAUGUUCAUCAGUCUGCAUGCAAGGCCAUUUCAAUCGGGGCUACCCGGAGAAAUGCAUCCCCCUCCAGGAAUCCAUCACUGAGAGGGUUUGUGUGGCCUCAAUAAAAGAAGCCAGAAGCUAGAUAGUGCAGAAUCCUAUCAUAGUACUGUCUUUAGGGGCAGGGGAGAUGGUGUGAGGACCUGAGUUUGGUUCCCUGACAACCAUGUAUAAAGCCAGAUAUACACAUCUGUAAUCCCAGCACC